rnacentral:rRNA from 1 species
AUUGAACGCUGGCGGCAGGCCUAACACAUGCAAGUCGAACGAGUGGCGGACGGGUGAGUAAUGCUUGGGAAACUGGCUUAUGGAGGGGGAUAACUACGGGAAACGGUAGCUAAUACCGCGUACCAUAAGAUGAGCCCACGUGGGAUUAGGUAGUUGGUGGGGUAAAGGCUCACCAAGCCGACGAUCCCUAGCUGGUCUGAGAGGAUGACCAGCCACACUGGGACUGAGACACGGACCAGACUCCUACGGGAGGCAGCAGUGGGGAAUAUUGCGCAAUGGGGGCAACCUGACGCAGCCAUGCCGCGUGAAUGAAGAAGGCCUUCGGGUUGUAAAGUUCUUUCGGUAGCGAGGCGUUAACUACAGAAGAAGCACCGGCUAACUCCGUGCCAGCAGCCGCGGUAAUAC